AGAGUUUGAUCAUGGCUCAGAUUGAACGCUGGCGGCAUGCUUUACACAUGCAAGUCGAACGGCAGCGCGGGCUUCGGCCUGGCGGCGAGUGGCGAACGGGUGAGUAAUAUAUCGGAACGUACCCAGAAGUGGGGGAUAACGUAGCGAAAGUUACGCUAAUACCGCAUACGAUCUACGGAUGAAAGUAGGGGACCGCAAGGCCUUAUGCUUUUGGAGCGGCCGAUAUCUGAUUAGCUAGUUGGUGAGGUAAUGGCUCACCAAGGCGACGAUCAGUAGCUGGUCUGAGAGGACGACCAGCCACACUGGAACUGAGACACGGUCCAGACUCCUACGGGAGGCAGCAGUGGGGAAUUUUGGACAAUGGGGGCAACCCUGAUCCAGCAAUGUCGCGUGAGUGAAGAAGGCCUUCGGGUUGUAAAGCUCUUUUGUCAGGGAAGAAACGGCUGUGGCUAAUAUCCACGGCUAAUGACGGUACCUGAAGAAUAAGCACCGGCUAACUACGUGCCAGCAGCCGCGGUAAUACGUAGGGUGCAAGCGUUAAUCGGAAUUACUGGGCGUAAAGCGUGCGCAGGCGGUUUUGUAAGUCUGACGUGAAAUCCCCGGGCUUAACCUGGGAAUUGCGUUGGAGACUGCAAGGCUAGAAUCUGGCAGAGGGGGGUAGAAUUCCACGUGUAGCAGUGAAAUGCGUAGAGAUGUGGAGGAACACCGAUGGCGAAGGCAGCCCCCUGGGUCAAGAUUGACGCUCAUGCACGAAAGCGUGGGGAGCAAACAGGAUUAGAUACCCUGGUAGUCCACGCCCUAAACGAUGUCUACUAGUUGUCGGGUCUUAAUUGACUUGGUAACGCAGCUAACGCGUGAAGUAGACCGCCUGGGAGUACGGUCGCAAGAUUAAAACUCAAAGGAAUUGACGGGGACCCGCACAAGCGGUGGAUGA
rnacentral:rRNA from 1 species